rnacentral:misc_RNA from 1 species
GUCGACAAACAAUGUACUCAUACGGAACUAAGUUCAUACCAUCCCUGAGAGCAUUUACAAUGCAGCACUCUGCUAAUACAUAAUAUGCAAUCUUCUCGUGAGGAGGAAUAGGAUGAUCAAUCAAGAUUACAGGUUCAUAUCCCGGACAACCAAAAACCUUGUUAAUCCUUUUGGUUAUCUCAUAAGUUUCCCGUUUUGCUUCCU